GAUGAACGCUGGCGGCGUGCCUAAUACAUGCAAGUCGAGCGAACGGACGAUAAUCUUGCUUCUCUGAUGUUAGCGUCGGACGGGUGUUUAACACUUGUAUAACCUACCUAUAUUACUGUGAUAACUUCGGGAAACCUUAUCUAAUACCGUAUAAUAUUUUUAACCUCAUUGUUCUAAUGUUAAUUACUUUCUUUCUGUCUCUUAUAGAUGUAUCCGGUCUGCAUUAGAUAUUUGGUAAGGUAACGGAUUACCAAGGCAACGAUGCAUAGCCGACCUGAGAGGGUGAGCGGAAAGACUGGAACAGAGAAACGGAAAAGAAGCCUACGGGAGGCAGCAGAAGGGAAUAUUCCGCAAUGGGCGAAAGAAUGAAGGAGCAACGCCGAGUGAGAGAUGAAGGACUUAGGAUCGUAAAACUAUGUUAUUAGGGAAGAAAAUAUGUGUAAGUAAAAGUGAAGAUAAUGACGGUAACAAAUAAGAAAGCAACGGCUAACUACGUG
rnacentral:rRNA from 1 species